GACGAACGCUGGCGGCGUGCUUAACACAUGCAAGUCGAACGGAAAGGCCCUGCUUUUGUGGGGUGCUCGAGUGGCGAACGGGUGAGUAACACGUGAGUAACCUGCCCUUGACUUUGGGAUAACUUCAGGAAACUGGGGCUAAUACCGGAUAGGAGCUCCUGCUGCAUGGUGGGGGUUGGAAAGUUUCGGCGGUUGGGGAUGGACUCGCGGCUUAUCAGCUUGUUGGUGGGGUAGUGGCUUACCAAGGCUUUGACGGGUAGCCGGCCUGAAAGGGUGACCGGCCACAUUGGGACUGAGAUACGGCCCAGACUCCUACGGGAGGCAGCAGUGGGGAAUAUUGCACAAUGGGCGGAAGCCUGAUGCAGCAACGCCGCGUGCGGGAUGACGGCCUUCGGGUUGUAAACCGCUUUCGCCUGUGACGAAGUGUGAGUGACGGUAAUGGGUAAAGAAGCACCGGCUAACUACGUG
rnacentral:rRNA from 1 species